CAGGCUUAACACAUGCAAGUCGAGGGGCAUCAGGAAGAAAGCUUGCUUUCUUUGCUGGCGACCGGCGCACGGGUGAGUAACACGUAUCCAACCUGCCCUUUACUCGGGGAUAGCCUUUCGAAAGAAAGAUUAAUACCCGAUGGCAUAAUGAUUCCGCAUGGUUUCAUUAUUAAAGGAUUCCGGUAAAGGAUGGGGAUGCGUUCCAUUAGGUUGUUGGUGAGGUAACGGCUCACCAAGCCUUCGAUGGAUAGGGGUUCUGAGAGGAAGGUCCCCCACAUUGGAACUGAGACACGGUCCAAACUCCUACGGGAGGCAGCAGUGAGGAAUAUUGGUCAAUGGGCGCUAGCCUGAACCAGCCAAGUAGCGUGAAGGAUGAAGGCUCUAUGGGUCGUAAACUUCUUUUAUAUAAGAAUAAAGUGCAGUAUGUAUACUGUUUUGUAUGUAUUAUAUGAAUAAGGAUCGGCUAACUCCGUGCCAGCAGCCGCGGUAAUACGGAGGAUCCGAGCGUUAUCCGGAUUUAUUGGGUUUAAAGGGAGCGUAGGUGGACUGGUAAGUCAGUUGUGAAAGUUUGCGGCUCAACCGUAAAAUUGCAGUUGAUACUGUCAGUCUUGAGUACAGUAGAGGUGGGCGGAAUUCGUGGUGUAGCGGUGAAAUGCUUAGAUAUCACGAAGAACUCCGAUUGCGAAGGCAGCUCACUGGACUGCAACUGACACUGAUGCUCGAAAGUGUGGGUAUCAAACAGGAUUAGAUACCCUGGUAGUCCACACAGUAAACGAUGAAUACUCGCUGUUUGCGAUAUACAGUAAGCGGCCAAGCGAAAGCAUUAAGUAUUCCACCUGGGGAGUACGCCGGCAACGGUGAAACUCAAAGGAAUUGACGGGGGCCCGCACAAGCGGAGGAACAUGUGGUUUAAUUCGAUGAUACGCGAGGAACCUUACCCGGGCUUAAAUUGCAGUGGAAUGAUGUGGAAACAUGUCAGUGAGCAAUCACCGCUGUGAAGGUGCUGCAUGGUUGUCGUCAGCUCGUGCCGUGAGGUGUCGGCUUAAGUGCCAUAACGAGCGCAACCCUUAUCUUUAGUUACUAACAGGUUAUGCUGAGGACUCUAGAGAGACUGCCGUCGUAAGAUGUGAGGAAGGUGGGGAUGACGUCAAAUCAGCACGGCCCUUACGUCCGGGGCUACACACGUGUUACAAUGGGGGGUACAGAAGGCAGCUAGCGGGUGACCGUAUGCUAAUCCCAAAAGCCUCUCUCAGUUCGGAUCGAAGUCUGCAACCCGACUUCGUGAAGCUGGAUUCGCUAGUAAUCGCGCAUCAGCCACGGCGCGGUGAAUACGUUCCCGGGCCUUGUACACACCGCCCGUCAAGCCAUGGGAGCCGGGGGUACCUGAAGUACGUAACCGCAAGGAUCGUCCUAGGGUAAAACUGGUGACUGGGGCUAAGU
rnacentral:rRNA from 1 species